rnacentral:rRNA from 1 species
CGCUGGCGGCACGCCUAACACAUGCAAGUCGAACGAAGUAGCAAUACUUAGUGGCAGACGGGUGAGUAACAUGUAGGUAUCUGCCCUUUGGCCUGGAAUAACACGAGGAAACUUGUGCUAAUACCGGAUAAGUCUUUACGGAGAAAGCUUUAUGCACCAUUGGAUGAGCCUGCACUUGAUUAGUUUGUUGGUGGGGUAAUGGCCUACCAAGACUGUGAUCAAUAGCUGAUUUGAGAGGAUGAUCAGCCACAUUGGGACUGAGACACGGCCCAAACUCCUACGGGAGGCAGCAGUGGGGAAUCUUGCACAAUGGAGGAAACUCUGAUGCAGCGAUGCCGCGUGAGUGAAGAAGGCCCUUGGGUUGUAAAGCUCUUUCGUCGGGGAAGAAAAUGACUGUACCCGAAUAAGAAGGUCCGGCUAACUUCGUGCCAGCAGCCGCGGUAAUACGAAGGGACCUAGCGUAGUUCGGAAUUACUGGGCUUAAAGAGUUCGUAGGUGGUUGAAAUAGUUGGUGGUGAAAUCCCAGAGCUUAACUCUGGAACUGCCAUCAAAACUUUUCAGCUAGAGUAUGAUAGAGGAAAGCAGAAUUUCUAGUGUAGAGGUGAAAUUCGUAGAUAUUAGAAAGAAUACCAAUUGCGAAGGCAGCUUUCUGGAUCAUUACUGACACUGAGGAACGAAAGCAUGGGUAGCGAAGAGGAUUAGAUACCCUCGUAGUCCAUGCCGUAAACGAUGUGUGUUAGACGUUGGAAAUUUAUUUUCAGUGUCGCAGCGAAAGCGAUAAACACACCGCCUGGGGAG